GAAGUUCUUAGCACUUAAGAGCUUCUUAAUGAAUCUGGGAAACCCGGCCAUUGUUUGUACAACUGGUGAUAAUCUCCAGGAUACAGGGGACAUAUGGAAAGCAAAAAAUUAUCAGGCUUCAGGGUUUGAACUCUUGAAAACAAGAACAGACAAUGGAAUCGUCAAGCGCCAAUCCACCAUCUUACUUUAAGUGGUCCAUCUUCACAACAUUAUGCUGCUGUUUGCCACUGGGAGUUAUUGCCCUCUUCUUCUCAAAUCAGGUUAACACCGCAAACACGGCGGGAGACACCACUAAAGCAGCAGAAGCAUCUCGGAAAGCUAAAAUUAUGAACAUAAUUGGAGUCGUCACCGGGGCCAUUUUUAUCACAAUUAUUAUUAUCAUAUAUGCAAUUAACAUCAGUGCAGUCUUAGCCAUUAGUUCCUGAUUCUUCUGAAAUGAAUAAGAUUGCUUCACAAAAUCACACCCAUGAUUUGUCAUAAAUGGCAUUCUUUAGACACAGACACAGCUGAGAACAAAUGAAAUCAUGAAUCACAGACCAAGAGAAAGAAAUGUGAAGAUGUGUUUCCACUGUCCAAACACAACAAACUCAUAAAACAGUGUCUUGGCCAACUUCAUCAUGUUUAAUUGUAAUAAAAUGCAUGUAUUAAAUUCUCCUUUUAUAAUCUG